rnacentral:rRNA from 1 species
CAGUAGCCGCGGUAAUACGGAGGAUCCAAGCGUUAUCCGGAAUCAUUGGGUUUAAAGGGUCCGUAGGCGGUCUUGUAAGUCAGUGGUGAAAGCCCAUCGCUCAACGGUGGAACGGCCAUUGAUACUGCAGGACUUGAAUUAUUGGGAAGUAACUAGAAUAUGUAGUGUAGCGGUGAAAUGCUUAGAGAUUACACGGAAUACCAAUUGCGAAGGCAGGUUACUACCAAUUGAUUGACGCUGAUGGACGAAAGCGUGGGUAGCGAACAGGAUUAGAUACCCCUGUAGUCCCUGUCUCUUAUAC